GAAAGCGUGUCUAAAGGCCUGUGUGUGGGGCUCGCCUGGGUCUCUUCCGGACCGUCGAGCCCAGCUCACUGGCUUCGGCUCCUGCCUCAUCCGGUUCCCAGUUCACAGCUCACCGAUUGUGAGUGGCAUGGACCUGAGCCAGGGCCCGGGAGGCUAGUGCUGGGAGCCCUCCUCUAGCUAACCAGCGCCCGUAGCCCUCCCUGUUUUCAGCUCCACUCCUUCCCCUUCCCAACUUGGCCUGAACAUGGUCUGAUCCUUCUUUUGGGGUAAACCUUCCAUGUCUUUCUCCCAAACUACCAUCCAUGUGGAAUUUUAAAAUGUAACCCAGAGUCUUCCGCAUGCCAGGGAAGCACAGGGCCCCAGAGCAAUGUCCCCAGCCCUCCCCAGCCCUCCGUAUGGAUUUUGAUGCAGACCUGUAAAGGGAUUUUUCUUAAGGCUCAGUACACAAAGUGCUUAAAUGUUUCAGGGAUGAAUGAAUGAACAUCUUCAGCACUUUCUUCUGCCCCAUGUAACUUUGGGACCCUUUGUUUUUCCUGGCACUUAGUUUGUGUGGGUGUGUUUAAUGGUCCUGCACCCUUGCUAGACUUUAUUCUGAUGAGGUAAGGAGAGUUUUAUUUUGCUCACUGGUGUGUCCCCAGUUCCCACACAAUGUUUAGCACGUGGUAGGACCUCAGUAAAGGUUGGUUGAAGGUUGAAAGGAGCUUUUUUCCUUCUGGUUUUGUAGUUGAGAAGCUGAUGUCUCUUCCAGCUGGAACCUUGGACCCCUACAUUUGUAAGUCUUGAGCGUUCUUCAGGUAGGAAGAUGAUGUGCACAGGGAACUCUUUCCAAAAUCGGGGGAGUUGGGAGUAAUCAACUCUCAUUUCUCCACCCACUUCCAGACCCCAGAGGAGACAGACAUUGAUGGCUGCUGAGAGCGGAGCCUUUAAUGAAAGAUUAGUUGCAGGCCUGGACUGCUACUCUUGCGCCCUUGGUGUGUAUUGAAGGAGGUGGGCAAUGGUGAGAAUGUGGACAGGGAUAAGUGGGGUGAGGUGAAAGCAGGUGAAGGGGCGGGCCCGGCAGGGGGAGGGGAAGGGCGCUGCCCACUGGGCUGUCUGCUCAACUGUUCUCCCAGAAGAAGUUGUUACAGGCCACUGUGAGAGCAGCCACCAGCACCACAUACUCCUGGAAGUCCACCUCCCCGUCUCCAUUCUCAUCGAGCUCCUUCAUCACCUUGUCCACAGCAUCUGCAUCCUUCUGGGCCUGUGGAGGAAGAAGAGGGAGAGGAGGUGUGCAUCACUGAGUCGGGGCAGGAGGUGGUCGAGGAGAGCAAGGCAGACGUGAGCAAGAGGUCAGACAGCCUCUAAUCAUGGGACCUUCUGCUUUCCACCCAAGAAGGCUCAUGGGCUCCUGUUGCCUUCAGAAGAAACGCCUUAACUGGAAGAGUUAAUGAUAACGUCAAUCACCAUAAGCUAAUUGUCUACAGUGUGACAAGCACUACACUAGGAGCCUUCCAGGCACUGUCUAGUUUAAUUCUAAUACAAGCAGUAUGGGGCUCUUUUUAUUAAUUCCAUUCUGAAGAAGAAACAUGGAUGAUUUUUGUUAAGUAAAUGUGCCCAAAGUCACACAAAAAGCGGCAGGGCUGACAUUAGGUGUGGUGAUGCACACCUGUCAUCCCAGCAGCU
rnacentral:lncRNA from 1 species